rnacentral:rRNA from 1 species
AGUGAACGCUGGCGGUAGGCCUAACACAUGCAAGUCGAACGGCAGCACAGUAAGAGCUUGCUCUUACGGGUGGCGAGUGGCGGACGGUUGAGGAAUACAUCGGAAUCUACUUUUUCGUGGGGGAUAACGUAGGGAAACUUACGCUAAUACCGCAUACGACCUACGUGUGAAAGCAGGGGAUCUUCGGACCUUGCGCGAUUGAAUGAGCCAAUGUCGGAUUAGCUAGUUGGCGGGGUAAAGGCCCACCAAGGCGACGAUCCGUAGCUGGUCUGAGAGGAUGAUCAGAUACAUUGGAACAGAGAAAGGGCACAGACUCCUAGGGGAGGAAGCAGUGGGGAAUAUUGGACAAGGGGCGAAAGCCUGAUACAGCCAUACCGCGUGGGUGAAGAAGGCCUUAGGGUUGUAAAGCCAUUUUGUUGGGAAAGAAAAGCAGCAGGUUAAUACCCCGCUGUAAUGACGGUACCGAAAGAAUAAGCACCGGCUAACUUCGUG